rnacentral:tRNA from 1 species
GGUUCCAUGGUGCAAAGGUUAGCUUUCUGGACUUUGAAUCCAGCGAUCAAAGUUCGAAUCUCGGUCAAACCU